rnacentral:ncRNA from 2 species
CAUUUAUAAAGAAGAGGGGAGAGAACAGGCUCUGCGAACCUCUAGCAACUUUCUGGAAAGAAUAAGUGCUACAUCCUGCCCGAAAACAAUAUGGGUAUAUAAAAU